rnacentral:lncRNA from 1 species
GCGUGAUCCGUACUCCCUACUAACUUAUUGUGGGGAAGGCCAUUGCGUCUGCGACCACACUCCCGCGGUACCCAAACCCUUCAAAGACAACUCCGAUCAGCCAUUUGGCUGUUAGUGGGAGGGCGGGUGGGCCGCUCGCACGGCAAUCGAGUAGAGAGUACGAAAUAACCUAAUGCAGUCAUCGUCAACAGAAAACGUAAGCCUCCAGCCUCACGCCGACUCUCUUACCUACCAUUCAUAUUUUCUACCUCGUUCACAAGACUCCGCCGCGUUGCCUCUAGUUCGGCUCGUGCCACAGGUAACUUCGCUCGUCGCUACUUUGCCAUUCACCUUCGCCUCCACCCAGCCUCUGCUUCUCCACAGAAGCGGCGACCUCCUUCGCCGUUGUUACGCCUCGUCUAUGCGACUCCUCAUCAUCCGGCUGGGUCUUCUGCCUACCCGGUGCGCGCCCCCUCCCUCUGCGCAUCCGUUUCUCCGGCCCUCUCUUACGGUUGCCUACCUUACUGCAGGACUCGCCCCUUGCCUGUCCUGUGCCGGGUAGGCUUUCCUUGCCUCCCCCGGCCCUACUUGGGGCGCCCCUCUCUGGCUCGUCAACUACCUUACUUCCGUCCGUCCCUGCCCCUCGGGGGCCCAACCCCUCCGCCCUUUCUGUGGGCCCGAUGCCCGCUCUGGACUUGUCUCACGCCCCCGGCCUCUCUGAUGCUGCCCCNNNNNNNNNNNNNNNNNNNNNNNNNNNNNNNNNNNNNNNNNNNNNNNNNNCACCUAGGCUCUGAUACCAAUUGGAAGGGAACCAGGCCGCUCCUAACAACUGGGAAGCGUAAGCUGACUUUACUGGCCGAUAUACUUGCGUAAGCACAGAAGAUCGGGCUUUCAACUUCAACUUAGACUUACAAUGUUCAUAAAAUGGUCCGCUUAAAUAGUCAUAAUAGCGCGCCAUUGUCUCACACGGAGAACCACAGGAUCAAGCUCCACUAGCUCCGAAGUUUCGACAUGGUCUCAGAAGCGCGCGCUAACGAACUGCAAAACCUUACAGUACCAAAGCUGUCAAUAGUGAGAACGUGAAAUCUGUUGUUGCGCAGCUGGUACUACAGAAGAAGUUUCCUGCGUGGUUCGUACCUACUCUUGGGCACCGACGGAAGGGGGAGGGACUUCACGUUAAGCACGCGGGUCGGUCGGUCUCCUUCCGCACGAAGAAUGAGGCAGAUGGUUACACUCAGCCAGCGUGCAAGUAUCGUUUCGCCGUCCUGUUCGUGUGCGGACAGACACGCGACGGCAGCAAUGGCAGGUGCGAGGGGGUAUAGAACUGGAGGUCCAGGCCGGACAGGUCAGGCAAGUGUAGUAUCGGUAGGUGUCCAUGGGCAUUGCGUGCAUUCGGGCAGAAGUGUGUAUGCAGUUAUACAUAGUGCAUCUUUUCAUUGAAUGUGUUGUGCCAUUCUCCUGACGGCCCCAUGUGCAUUUCCAAGCAUGCUCUGAUCGCGAAUCUUUGAAAGUGGUUUAGGACACGCUGUGCUUUGUCGCAACUUAUAUGAAGACGACUGGAGAGUUGAACAUUGAACAAAUGAAUGCAUGUACGUCAUUUCCCUCGGCUCUUGCAGGUGUGGUGCCGUGGCAGUAGUGGGACAGCUCUGGACAAACAAGGAUGACGAGAUGCAUGGCAAUCGAGUAGAGAGUACGAAAUAACCUAAUGCAGUCAUCGUCAACAGAAAACGUAAGCCUCCAGCCUCACGCCGACUCUCUUACCUACCAUUCAUAUUUUCUACCUCGUUCACAAGACUCCGCCGCGUUGCCUCUAGUUCGGCUCGUGCCACAGGUAACUUCGCUCGUCGCUACUUUGCCAUUCACCUUCGCCUCCACCCAGCCUCUGCUUCUCCACAGAAGCGGCGACCUCCUUCGCCGUUGUUACGCCUCGUCUAUGCGACUCCUCAUCAUCCGGCUGGGUCUUCUGCCUACCCGGUGCGCGCCCCCUCCCUCUGCGCAUCCGUUUCUCCGGCCCUCUCUUACGGUUGCCUACCUUACUGCAGGACUCGCCCCUUGCCUGUCCUGUGCCGGGUAGGCUUUCCUUGCCUCCCCCGGCCCUACUUGGGGCGCCCCUCUCUGGCUCGUCAACUACCUUACUUCCGUCCGUCCCUGCCCCUCGGGGGCCCAACCCCUCCGCCCUUUCUGUGGGCCCGAUGCCCGC